UACAGAGGUCCCGAGCGUUGUUCGGAUUCACUGGGCGUAAAGGGUGCGUAGGCGGCGCGGUAAGUCGGGUGUGAAAUCUCGGAGCUUAACUCCGAAACUGCAUUCGAUACUGCCGUGCUUGAGGACUGGAGAGGAGACUGGAAUUUACGGUGUAGCGGUGAAAUGCGUAGAUAUCGUAAGGAAGACCAGUGGCGAAGGCGGGUCUCUGGACAGUUCCUGACGCUGAGGCACGAAGGCCAGGGGGAGCAAACGGG
rnacentral:rRNA from 1 species